rnacentral:lncRNA from 1 species
CUUUGAUGUACAAGGCACUAUGCCGGAUCCUCGAGAUACCGCAACAGACGGGACUACAUCAACAGUUGGAAAGUAAUGGCGAUGAAGUAAUUGGCUCAUUGUCAGGACUGCAAUGGGGUCAUCGCAGUUUUCCAAAACUAUUUGACUACAUAAAACUAUUUUUCAUGGAAUAAUCACUGAGAUCUUAUGAAAUUCUCC